rnacentral:lncRNA from 1 species
UUUUAUAAUAUGUACUUGUUCUUACUCUGUUUUCUGUAAAUUUUCACAUUCUGAUUUUAUUAUAUCCUUAUGUGUGUUUUUGCUAGUUUAGCAAUAGUGAUUAAUUUUAAAUUAUUUAUUGUAGUUAAGGCAAAAAUAAAGUGAAACUGAAUUUUCUAGCGUAAAAUUCUGUGCAUUUAUUUAAAAAAAAAAAAAGUCACUCUUACUUUGUAGAGCAGAGCAUAGAGAGCAUAAAGGCACGCGGACUCAUGCCUGUAAUUCCUGCAGUCAGAGGUUCAGACAGGAGGAUUGCUGAGUUCAAGAGCAUGCCAGGCUAUGCAGUAAAGCCCUGCUGCCUCCCCUCAUGAUGGCAGACCCAAUCUAAUCAAACAUUUGAGGAUAUUGAAUUAUCUCUGGAAGUUACUUAAUCAUUCUAAUCUUCAUUAAUAGUAUCUGUAAAAUAAGUAUUUAUAAACUUGUCAUCUCCUCGCUGUGUGGUUCUGUGAGUAAACACUAGGAUGUGAAGAAGCCAUGGAUUGAUUCAUUUUGUUUAGACUUAAGAGCCAUUGACAUUCUGAAGAAAAAAAAAACAAAAAACAAAAAAACAACUGAAUCUAAUUUACAGCCUUUGUGAAACCCUCUAAUGGAAACAUUCGCUAUGGUGGAAACCGUGUAUCUUUGUUAUUAACCUUAACUAUGUUCAGAUUCUGGCUACCUUUCAAUAACUACAUGUCUUGAGAAGUUAACAUUUUUAAAGAUUAUUUUAUGUAUAAAAUACUUGUUCUGCCUGCAUGUCUGUGUGUAAAUCAUAUGUGUGCAGUGCCCAUCAAGGCCACAAGAGGAUGUGGGAUCCUCUGGAACUGGAGUUGCAGGGGUUGUAAUCUGUCCUAUGGGUGCUAGAAAUGGAACCUAGGGACCCUGGAAGAGCGGCCAGUGUCGGUUGCUGAGCCAUCUCUCCAGCCUCCUGAAUGUUCAAAUAAACUCUGGUGUUUCUAAAACUGUAAACUUUCAAAAGUUAUAGUAUUUUACUGUUUCACAAAACUGUUGCCUUAGGUAAGAUUACAGUGUCUGCUGGAGGCAAGCAGUUGAUUCAUGUAACUACUGCAUUGUAUAGACAUAUCCAUAGUAACAUGAAUCCAUAUAAAAGAAUAUCUCCUGUAGAGCUAGCCUGAAAACAUUAAAUAGCCGAAUGCCGUCCAGGUCUUUUCACUCACUCGGCUCCCCAGGGAGUGUCCAACACGUUCUGAGGGAUACUUUCUCACUGAAGCCUUGAAACAGCUUAUUAGUCCCUAGUUGCCAAACUUAUCCAUACAUAGUUUACUGCCUUACACACAGCCCAUCAAUGCUAUUGGUGAUUCCUUUCUGGUCUAGACAAGAGUUUCAAAACACAUAAUGCU